UACGUAGGGGGCGAGCGUUGUCCGGAAUCAUUGGGCGUAAAGAGCGCGUAGGCGGUUCAGUAAGUCAGGUGUGAAAGCUCCGAGCUCAACUCGGAGAGGCCACCUGAUACUGCUGUGACUAGAAUCCAGUAGGGGAGUGUGGAACUCCUGGUGUAGCGGUGAAAUGCGCAGAUAUCGUUUGGAACGCCAAUGGUGAAAACAAGUAGCUGGGGAUGUGCCGACGCUGAGACACGAAAGCCAGGGGAGCGAACGGG
rnacentral:rRNA from 1 species